AAGUCGUUGGAAAGGCAGAACAGUUCGAUCCCGUAGAAUAAUCUACUGUUUACGGUGGCUUUGGCCACUUUUAGUAGGAUCUCUCUGUUACUGCUCCGGUGUCGUUUGGAAAGUGUCCAGAGAAGGUUUAGCCGCGUGCGGCAGUUGGUUUUGGUGUAAUUGAAAUGUGUGUCAAAUCUCAGCUCCCGGUCCAAGCGCACACCAAGAACCUGGAUGGUCUUCUUGUUGGGUAUCGGAAUGUUGUUCGCAAAGAUGGCGAGCGAUGACGGGAGUGACAUAGGUGAGAAACCACGCUCUUUUCUGGGGAUAAUUGGGUUGUUUAGCUUCGAAAAAUAUACCGAUUUUUAUACAUCAGGCAUAACAUUUGAUAACGGCACAAAAGCAUCAUCUGAUAGAGCUUCGUUUUAUGAGCACAACGAUAUUUGUAUCGAUCCCGUAGACAUUCAUCCUCGCAUUCAUCUCGAUUUUUAAAUCAAGAUUUAAAUUUUUGAUCAUUGAGUCUAAAUCGAUUCGUUGACAGCUCGCUCCCAUAAAAAGUCCCACCAAGGGGCGCUAAGAUGUUGAUUUUUGCUAAUAAUCAUACUUAUUUAAAAUAGUUCCAGUGUACCAAAAUUGGUGAAAUUUUGGAUUUCGGAUCGAUUUUUAAUGCAGAUACCGAAUAUGUAUUUACGUCAACACUCCUAAAUAACCCAAUUCGAAGUCGGUCCUGGAGGCCCAUCUUGUGGUGGCUGAUACAGCAGCGUGUAAUUUUCUUCGCAAAGCCUUGAGGGGUGCGUCCGAUUGCCAGGAGGACGAUUCAGCCAACUGGUCAACCGUUGCCGGGUUUGAACGUAUGCUGUCGGUGAUCGAGAUGGUCGUUGAUCUCGAGGAAGCGAAUUAGACGGCGAUUGACUACUUGAAAUUGACUCAACUACAGCGCCGUAACGUGGGUAGAUCACAUUUUCGUGGUAUGUAAGAUCUAGUCCUGCCUACUUCAAACUAGGGGAACAUGAUUAUUUAGUAAUCAAAGGAACACAUCUUAGUCCUUGUUACUUUUUAUGGCUUGUUAAUAGUUAACCUCGAGGUUGCCUGGACUGAGGAUGAUAUUUAAUUAAGGAAAGUUAGCCUUCUUCUAUGUGAUUCCCAAUCUUCUAUUCGUUGUUCCCUAGUUUGAAGUGGUUAAGACUACGGUCCUGAUGCAUGGUCAUUAUCGGUGUCAUUGCUUAAUUUUGUUGCUAAGGAAUCCAAUUUUGAAUGACAAAGGGGGCGCCUUUUGGAGGGUGCUCUCACUCUUUGAAGGGUAUACAUGUGGUCGUCAAGUAAGCAACUGUUCGUGUUUAAAAAGAGAAGCAAAAAAUUACUAAUAGCGAAUUCGUUUAUUAUCGGGGUUAACACCAGUUCCAACACAGUGCGAAACCGAACUUUUUGUCAGUGUGAACCUCAACCUGAGCUAGGUUUUAAAAACAAACGAGCAAACUGACGUUUAUCAGAAAACAAGCAGACCCUAUCUUGAUACCGGAUCCAGGUUGGAACUGAAUAAUAAACGAAUUUGCUAUAAGAAAUCGAUGGAACCUUCGCCAGUGCGCAAAACAGUUAGGUUCAUUGAGUCAUUUUGAUAUUAAUAUGAACUGCCAUCUGCCUCGAGAGAGUCUGAAUGAUUGAGAGGUAAACGAGUCACUGACAGCCGAGCACUCAGUCAGUAGUGACCGAAGGCAAGCGGUGUGCGUCGCCUGCUCGUGAGUGACUGAAUGUUUUUGUUGGUUCUUUCAUUGCCUCGUCCUUUACCGUUUGGCACAAACGGUCUGCACAGAGCAAUGGAUUGAAUAGUGCAGUGCUUUCACACUCAGCCUAGAUAGUUGCCAGUUUUCCAGAUUUUCAGUCAUCUAGCCAGAUACACUGACAGAUCACGUAUAUUUCCAGAUUUUUUAAAUAUGUUCCAGAUUUUGACAGAUUUUUUCAAACAUUUUGCUUUAAAAAUAUCACUGUAAUUGAUUUACAAUCUAAUCAAAAAAUAAAAAGCCAAACUUGCUACUUUAAUUAUUAAAGUCCAUCAACGGUGGACAUUAUUAGAAUUUUAAGGUAAUUCUGGAAACAGUGCACAGUGAAGUGCAAGGUGCAUUCCUUGUGAAAUCAAACGAGAACUUCAAGCUAAUUCUGAGUAGAGUUCCAUUCAUCUUUGAGGGCUUCGUGGUCGUGUGACUUCACCCGUCGUUCAGGCGUAUUGUGAGUGCCACAAAGUGAGGGUUCGAUUUCCGCUCCAGCCGGUACAAAUUUUGACAACCUGAAAAUUUCCUUACUGGUCUACUGGUAAGUUCCAGUUUGAGGGAAUUGUGGAAUUGAAGAGUGAUUUAUAAGAGAUUCCACGAGGUAAUGUUUGGUUAUUAUCAAGAUUAUUUUAGAGGAAUAUAGAAAAAAAAGUAUGAUUGAAUUCUAGGAUGAUUCAAAUGGAACUAAAAAAACGGCGAACAUAUCCUGUGAAGAGUUCCAAGUAAAUUCAGACUAACAAAAAAUUCAUGAUCUGGGACAGGAAAAAUAUAAAUUCCGGAAUUCAAAAUCAUUUCGAGAUCCUGAGAUUUCAAAAACGAAACUAUAAGACAUUCAUUUUAGUAAUAUAAUAAAAUUAUUCUUUGGCAUAAAAUUAUUCGUAAUGGUCAUGCGAAUAGUGGAGUUACCCGUAGUUUAGGUAAACUGUGUGUGAGUACCACGAUGUUAGACUUUGAUUCCCACUUCAGCCAGGUAGAUUCUACUUCAAAAUAAAAUGGCCUACUGGUCUACUGGGUGUUGUGUGUAGUAUGAUGUUAAGAAUUAAAUUUUAAAUCUGAUAAACCUCAGGGUAAUAUUAGAGUUAUUUAGAACUAAUAAGAUCGUUAAGAUAUAUUCUGGUACUGCAUCAAAUAGUAAGGACUAAAUCGACUUUUAGUUAAACAAAAUUUAUCCCAUCAAAGUUGCUUGAUUCUUUGCUUCUCAUUCUUUUAAAAAGAUUACAGUUUAAGUAGCAACUCUAAACAUAUUUUUUGCAGUAUUUUGCCCACAUUUAACUCAAUUUUUGAAAUUCAACAAGUUAUUUGCUUUAUAUAAUUUAUUUACACAUGUAAUUCAUAACCAUUGUAGUACUUCAAAUAAAUUCCAAAUGAUCAUAUUGACCGAUUUUUACGGGAGAUUGGCACAUCACUUUGAUUUCAAUAGCAUUAUAUUAAAAACUGGAUUUUUUAAGCAUACCAGAUUUUUCCAGAUUUUAUAUUUUAACUGGUCCAGAUUUUUCUGAAAAUGACCUGGCAACGCUGGCUCUGAGUCCUUCGCUACCAUGUCUGGGAUUGAACCUACUACAUACAUAUUACUACAAACCACUAGGACCGUUACGAAAACCUUUAUCGAGUGUAGUUUCGUAGAUCAAAUUCAACGAUAACGACUAUUGUCGCAAUAUUAUUUCGAAAACAUGCAAAUGGAAUUGCCUCCUCAGAUUCGAUCAGGCUCGAUCACGAUUCCACAUUAAUAUUCACAAAAAUCAGAAGAAAAAUAACGGCAAAAUAACUUACAAAUAUGACGUCCACAAGUUCUUUUUGUGUGUGUAAUAAACUAGUUUAUUAGGUUUAUUAACAAAAAGCCUUCACCAAUAUUCGACUGGCUAUUAGUUCCUGCGCGCCCUUGCAAGCGUGACAAAUCUGCUCGGGUAAUUCCUUCCUAUUGUAUAUAAUCUUCCAAUUAGCAACUGUUUAGCAUCCUAGAUUACUAUCACUCCAGCUUAAACGAUCAUAUCAUUUUAAUUGUGACAUUAUACUGAAAUUCGGUCAGAUCUUUCCGUAUGCAAAUUGUUUCUAGGAAAUAACCUGUGGCUAUACUAAAUUGGUGUUAAUGUACACAAACACAAAUAGAAGAGAAAUAAUAAAAAAAAAUUAAACGCAACUAUACAUUUUAGGCAAAAUAUAAAUUGAAAUAAUGUGAAAAUCGAUAUUAUCAGUGGAUAUUGGGUCCCAGCAUCCUGUACAAAUUUUAAAUAAAAUGAAAAACAACCUAGUUUCUAGUAGGGUAUUUAACGAUAAACGAAUGAUGGAGGGAAGCAAUGUGAAUAAAUAAAGUAUCAAUGUCUAUAAUAGUAGGUAAUCAAAAGCUACUAAGAAAAACUAUUAUUACAAUUUGCAAAUAUAUAAAAGUGAAGUAAGAGAA